ensembl:misc_RNA
GUGACAGGUCUGUAGACUGAAGUCUUCUCUUUAGCCAUACAACAGAUACAGUACAGGCAGCAUCAGUGCAAGCUUCCUCCAGCUCUACGUGGAGAGUCUAUUCCUAGGAGUGAGAAAGUAGUUUGGUCCCUAUAUCUAUUCAGUCCUUUAUCUGUU